rnacentral:rRNA from 1 species
GACGAACGCUGGCGGCGUGCUUAACACAUGCAAGUCGAACGGAAAGGCCCUGCUUUUGUGGGGUGCUCGAGUUGCGAACGGGUGAGUAACACGUGAGUAACCUGCCCUUGACUUUGGGAUAACUUCAGGAAACUGGGGCUAAUCCCGGAUAGGAGCUCCUGCCGCAUGGUGGGGGUUGGAAAGUUUCGGCGGUUGGGGAUGGACUGGCGGCUUAUUAGCUUGUUGGUGGGGUAGUGGAUUACCAAGGCUUUGCCGGGUAGCCGGCCUGGGAGGGGCACAGGCCCCAUUGGGACUGGAAUACGGCACAGACUAGUACCGGAGGCAGCGGUGGAGAAUAUUGCACAGUGGGAGGAGGCCUGAUGCAGCAACGCAGCGUGGGGGAUGACGGGCAUCGGGUAGUGAACCGCUUUCGCCUGUGACGAAGCGUGAGUGACGGUAAUGGGUGAAGAAGCACCGGCUAACUCCGUG